GUGUGCUGCAGUAUUUUAAACUGCAAGGCCAUCUAUUUGUGAACCCAUAAAGCAACUGGCAGAUGUGAAACGUACCGGUUUGACAUUUCAUAUCAACAAGCUGUUUGAAACAGUGGCUAUCCGGUGCCUCCACUUGGAUCGAUACUAUAGUAAACGGAAAACAAAUGCUGUUACAAUAGUUUGCUGGGGAGCUUUCAUGAGUGCAUGAGUCAGUGUUGGUUUCCAGUGAAAACAGUAUUUCCCUGGGUUUUCUUCAGAGGAAACUACCCUUCUACUGAAUUAGCCGGGAACGAAAUUGAGCGGAAUAAAACCGUCUUGUGUGUACUGCGCACCCCACAGGCACUACCAGUGGCAAGGUCGAAAAAGGAUGCCAUACACUACUGGUGACUCUGAAUAGCGAGCACAGGUUCUCCUUGCAAGGCAAGUUGUUUCGAAACGUAGGAUACAGUCUUCUACAUCGUUUGACAUCGGUGAUAUCAAUCAGUCACAGUAUGCAGCAGUUGCGGCACAGUGGUUGAACGGGAAACCUCAUCCGACUCGAAUCUGAAUUCAGCUGUCAACGGCAAACAUGAAAACUCUUCC